rnacentral:rRNA from 1 species
AGUGAACGCUGGCGGCGUGCCUAAUACAUGCAAGUCGAACGGAGUGGCGCACGGGUGAGUAAUAUAUAGCGAAUUUGCCCCUUGAUGGGGGACAACAGUGAGAAAUGUAUGCUAAUACUCCAUAGCACGGGAUGAGACUAUAUCGUAUCAGCUAGUCGGUGGGGUAACGGCUUUCCGAGGCGAUGACUCGUAACUGGUCUGAGAGGAUGAUCAGACACAUCGGAAGUGAGACACGGGCCGGGCUCCUUGGGAAAGGGGCGGUAGCGUAAAGUAGGCAAUGGGGGAGACCCUAACACAGCAACGGCGCGUAGAGGAUGACACUUUUCGAGGCAGGUGCUCCUGUUGUUAGGGAAGCGGUACCUAACGAAGAAGCACCGGCUAACUCCGUGCCAGCAGCCGCGGUAAUUC